rnacentral:rRNA from 1 species
UACAGAGGAGCCAAGCGUUGUCCGGAUUGACUGGGCGUAAAGCGCACGCAGGCGGUUGCGCGCGUGGGGUGUGAAAUCUGGCCGCUUAACGGCCAGGCGCCAUCCCAUACGGCGCGACUGGAGUGAUGCAGAGGUCGAUGGAAUUGCCGGUGUAGUGGUGAAAUGCGUAGAGAUCGGCAGGAACACCCAGGGGGAAACCAGUCGACUGGGCAUCUACUGACGCUGAGGUGCGAGAGCGUGGGGAGCGAACAGG